UUUUAUUUGAGAGUUUGAUCCUGGCUCAGGAUGAACGCUGGCGGCGUGCCUAACACAUGCAAGUUGAGCGAUUUACUUCGGUAAAGAGCGGCGGACGGGUGAGUAACGCGUGGGUAACCUACCCUGUACACACGGAUAACAUACCGAAAGGUAUGCUAAUACGGGAUAAUAUAUUUGAGAGGCAUCUCUUAAAUAUCAAAGGUGAGCCAGUACAGGAUGGACCCGCGUCUGAUUAGCUAGUUGGUAAGGUAACGGCUUACCAAGGCGACGAUCAGUAGCCGACCUGAGAGGGUGAUCGGCCACAUUGGAACUGAGACACGGUCCAAACUCCUACGGGAGGCAGCAGUGGGGAAUAUUGCACAAUGGGCGAAAGCCUGAUGCAGCAACGCCGCGUGAGUGAUGAAGGCCGUCGGGUCGUAAAACUCUGUCCUCAAGGAAGAUAAUGACGGUACUUGAGGAGGAAGCCCCGGCUAACUACGUGCCAGCAGUCGCGGUAAUACGUAGGGGGCUAGCGUUAUCCGGAUUUACUGGGCGUA
rnacentral:rRNA from 1 species